CUUAGAGGGAUAAGCGGUGUUUAGCCGCACGAGAUUGAGCGAUAACAGGUCUGUGAUGCCCUUAGAUGUCCGGGGCUGCACGCGUGCUACACUGGUGGAGUCAGCGGGUUUUUCCUAUGCCGAAAAGGGUAUCGGUAAAACCGUUGAAAUUCUUCCAUGUCCGGGAUAGGGUAUUGUAAUAUUGCCCUUAAACGAGGAAUGCCUAGUAAGUGUGAGUCAUCAGCUCACGUUGAUUACGUCCCCGCCCUUUGUACACACCGCCCGUCGCUAUCCGGGACUGAACUGAUUCGAGAAGAGUGAGGACUGUGAUUUCGAGGUUUUCGGACUUCGUUGUUGCGGAAAUCAUUUUUAUCGCAUUGGUUUGAACCGGGUAAAAGUCGUAACAAGGUAGCUGUAGGUGAACCUGCAGCUGGAUCAUCG
rnacentral:ncRNA from 1 species